AUUGAACGCUGGCGGCAGGCCUAACACAUGCAAGUCGAGCGAGCGGCGGACGGGUGAGUAAUGUCUGGGAAACUGCCUGAUGGAGGGGGAUAACUACUGGAAACGGUAGCUAAUACCGCAUACCAUACGAUGUGCCCAGAUGGGAUGAGAGAGUAGGUGGGGUAAUGGCGAACCAAGGCGACGAUCCCUAGCUGGUCUGAGAGGAUGACCAGCCAUACUGGAACGUAGACACGGUCCAGACUCCUACGGGAGGCAUCAGUGGGGAAUAUUGCACAAUGGGCGCACGCCGGAUGCAGCCAUGCCGCGUGUAUGAAGAAGGCCUUCGGGUUGUAAAGUACUUUCAGCGAGGAGGCGUUACUCGCAGAAGAAGCACCGGCUAACUCCGUGCCAGCCGCCGCGGUAAUAC
rnacentral:rRNA from 1 species